GCCAGCAACUAUGUCACCCUGCAGCUCUCAACUAGCUACCCACUGAAGCUAAGCAGGUUGACCCUGGUCAGUACCUGUAUGGGAGACCUCUUGUGAAGCUGUGGUUGCUGCUGGAA
rnacentral:rRNA from 1 species